GCUACACUUUCGAUUCAUCUCGAUCGACCACGGAUUCACAACAAAAUCCAACCUUCUUCCAAUAGAAGAAAACACACACACAAAUACAUAUAAAACAUGUAUUUUUGGAUUUUCUCGAAAUCCGUGCAUCAAACUCAAAAUCCAUUAGCGCCACUAGUUCCAGAACAGCUGAACCGGUCGAAACGAGCUAUUGGACUGAUAUGAACGGAGUCCGAUACGUACCAGAAGCCAACUCUACUCCGUGGCUUCUCCGGAAAACCGGAGUUACUAUUCACUUAAAUGAAAACUAAAAAUCGCGUAUCUUCUCCAUUUUAGCUCAGUUUCUCCUGAAACUUGACGAGUGCUUAUGUAAUUAAAUUACACACAUAAACAUCAUCAACAGAGAGUUUAGUAGCACUGUCAAAAAAUCUCAGUCCUUACAUAAAUUUAAUUCUACGAACGAUUAUAAUCAAUUUGUUAAAAAUAUUUUAAAUAAAAAAGAAUGAUUAUGAUC
rnacentral:lncRNA from 1 species